AGUUGUUGAGGAGUUAGCGGGCAGGUAUUGCAAUUCACUGUAGCUGUAAUAGAGGGUAAUGUCACUUUAAGACAUGUGAUACUUUACAGAGGAGGGAUGUAUUGAAACAGACUAUUGCUACUUACAGCACCGUAUAGCAGCCCUGCUUCACAUUUUGCUGCCUUACUCUGCCCUGAAUACACUGGAUUGGGGAUGGUUCAUCAUUAACUAUAAACUGGUUCUCAUCAGGAAACUGCACAUUAUCUAACUACCACUUCAAAGGUCUCUCGUCAGGCAGAAGUGACGCCAGGAGAAGAUUUAAAGGUGAAAAUGACAAGGUUUCUACCCCUCAAACCUUGGUUCCUUUUCUGACAAUACAGUCUGAAUGAAACUGAUGCCUUCUUACUGUGGAAACAGCAUCUGAAGAAAAAAUUAUAUUUUUAAAUAUUGAAAAAGAAGAUUACUGGGAAGCUCUUUAAAAGACAGAGAGAGAGGAAAAAAACUCUCCAAUUUGUGGCACAGAUGGAUUUUAGAAAGUGUUAGAGCUUUCCAAUGAACACUAAUAGAGCUCUCUGCUCUUGGCUGGAUUUUUCAGAGAAUGGCCAUGGUCUCUGCGAUGUCCUGGGUCCUGUAUUUGUGGAUAAGUGCUUGUGCAAUGCUGCUUUGCCAUGGAUCUCUACAGCACACUUUCCAGCAGCAUCACCUGCACAGACCAGGUUGGCACCAGUCCAUGGAUCAGUGGUGGAAAAUCACUGGUGAGA